rnacentral:rRNA from 1 species
CGUCCUCGGGGUGGAUAGAAUGCGAGUUGUGCGUCUCUAAGCUAUGGUAGAGACGCGGCGUACGGCUCAGUAACACGUGGCUAACCUACCCAUAGGACGGGAACAACCCCGGGAAACUGGGGCUAAUACCCGAUAGGUGAGGAGGCCUGGAAUGGUUCCUAGUCGAAAAGGCGUUGAAACCAUGCUUUUCGACGUCGCCUAAGGAUGGGGCCGCGCCCGAUCAGGUUGUUGGUGGGGUAACGGCUCACCAAGCCUAUAACCGGUACGGGCCGUGAGAGCGGGAGCCCGGAGAUGGGCACUGAGACAAGGGCCCAGGCCCUACGGGGCGCAGCAGUCGCGAAAACUCCGCAAUGCGCGAAAGCGUGACGGGGCUACCCCGAGUGCCGUCCGCUGAGGAUGGCUUUUCCCCGGUGUAAUGAGCCGGGGGAAUAAGGAGAGGGCAAGUCUGGUGUCAGCCGCCGCGGUAAUACCAGCUCUCCGAGUGGUAGGGAUGAUUAUUGGGCUUAAAGCGUCCGUAGCCGGCUUAGCAAGUCUCCUGUUAAAUUCAGCGACUUAAUCGUUGAGCCGCGGGAGAUACUACUAGGCUAGGAGGCGGAAGAGGCCGACGGUAUUCUCGGGGUAGGGGUGAAAUCCUAUAAUCCCGGGAGGACCACCAGUGGCGAAGGCUGUCGGCUAGAACGCGCUCGACGGUGAGGGACGAAAGCUGGGGGAGCGAACCGGAUUAGAUACCCGGGUAGUCCCAGCUGUAAACGAUGCGGGCUAGGUGUUGGGGUGGCUACGAGCCACUUCAGUGCCGCAGGGAAGCCCAUUAAAGCCCGCCGCCUGGGGAGUACGGCCGCAAGGCUGCAACUUUAAAAGAUUUGGCGGGGGAGCACCACAAGGCGUUGAAGCUUGCGGAUCAAUUGUAGUCACCGCCCGGG